CGCGCCCCGUCGAUUCGAUGAGAUGCCUUACCACAUGAUAGUGAGGUCGGAUUUUGGAUCGGCGGCCGAUCUUGCUCAUGUGAGUUGAACUGCGUAUUGUUUAGUGAGGGCGCCUUGUGUGGCUGUGUGAUGUGUGCACAUGUGGAUAUGUAAUGAUUCGCGAGACAGCAUAAAGUGUUUUGUUUGUAAGAAAGGUGUUGUGUUGAAGUGAAAAUUAAUGCAGUUUCGUGUUCCGUUUUUGUGGCAAUGAAACAAUUAAUAAACAAUCAAAUGAUCUAUUUCACCAAUGCGAAAAUGUUUGCAGAGAUAUUCGUGUUAUCCCGAACGUAGGAACAUAACGACAAGCGGUAGGCAAAAAGCGUGCGUUGGCAAAGUGCAACAUCCCUAAAACCAGAUAAGUAUAACAAAUUAUUAUUAAAAAUAGUGCAAGUGUUACGAAAAAGGAAUUAUAGAAGGAUUAAAAAUUUAUGUUUUACAGUCAUAUUGUUUCAUACCGUUCCAAAUCAGAUAUUUGAAGAGAUAACACGACUGAAAAAGCAGAGCAAUUAUGGAAUGACGGCAUUCGCUUUCCCAAUUAAGCUACCCAUACAAUUAUAUUGUUGUGCAAGCAACUAUAAAGCAUAUGUUCUAGUGCAGAUUAUAACUUUCUUUACAUAAUUCAUAACAGACCCGGUAUGCUCACUCCGUUCGAUUAAUAACUUCAUGGCCUCUUCAUGGGGGUUCUAAAACGUGUACUAAAAGGAAAGCAGCUACAUGUAGAAAAGAUGUUCAUGUAACAUUCCAACGUUAUCACUUUAUGCUGGACAUUUCACGUAACAGUUAUUUCAAUAAAUAAUAAAAAUAGGAACUAGAUAGGGUAGCAUACUAUAGAUAGGAUAGAAAAUCGUAUUAAUUACUAAAACAGGCCUAGACUUACUACAGUUGUUCCACUAAAAUAGAAGACAAUAGGAUAAUAUAGCGAACUAGGAUAUUGUAGUGAGAGACCAAGUGACAUAAAUUUGGUUUUUAAUAUGAGGAAGAUUAUAGAGUUGAAGAAAGUUUGAAAUAGUUUAGGGCACAUGAAAUAGUAGCAAUUAAUAUGGGUUUGCCAUUUAUACUUAGACCGUGGAACAAUUUUACGAUUAAAUCAUGUUCUCAGCUUUGUCCAAAUUGCAAAACCAUGAACACGUUAUCGUUUCCUACAUGAAAUGCAUAUUGAAAGCAAUAAUAAGUAAUCAAACUCUAUAUUAAUUUUUUUUUAAUCGUAGAGCUUCAUUGUGCUCUGCGCAGAGCACAUAUGUGUUAAAAGAAAUCGGAUAUAAUCAAUGUAAAACCUACUAAAUGUUACCAUGUUGUCAAACGCACUUCAUUUGCCCAGACCCAGUUAAACCUAGUCUGGGACUAGGUCCCAGACCUAGUUAAAGAAUCACAUUUAAUACGAAGACUCGUCAUGAGCCGAUAGUUAUAAUAAUACACAUUAGUCUUAAUUAUACGCAAAGCAUAGCGAGCAAAAAACAUAACGGAAGCGAAUGCGAAACAGUCGAGCGGUUUAAGAAAUGCCGGCGUAAAACACAUUUUACUGAUAAUAAUAUUACACUACUAGGCUAAUAUACUAGGUUCACCACAUGUAUGUUUAACAUAAUUUUUAUACGUUUGACUACAUAAUAAAAUAUAUCAAAAUUUAUCAAAUUUA